GCCGGGGUGGCGGAAUUGGUAGACGCAGUGGACUCAAAAUCCACCGGUGGCAACACCUUACGAGUUCGAGUCUCGUCCCCGGUACCA
rnacentral:tRNA from 1 species